CCUCAGGGAAGAGCCCGGGACAGAGAGAAUCUGACAGGGUCCUGGCAAGACGGCCCACAUGUACAUCCCUUCCGGGGCCUCCCAUGUCCCGUAUGGGUUGCCACGAGGACCAUGGGGACCGAGGAAGGGUAAUUUUAUGUUCACUCCUGGAAAUGACAGUGAGAGAGCCUCCAGGUUGAGGGAGCAGCCGUGCAAAGGCCCUGAGCAUGCCCCCCACCGGACCCCAUCAUGGAGCAGCAGCCACAUGGCCCAAGCGGAAGGCGCCUCCUCACCGGCCAGCACCCCGUUUGCACGUCACUUGCCCGGAUCUUGGAAGAAGGUACAGGUUUGAACUGAGGCAUCAGCUCAGCCCUCAGAAGAAGCUGUUGUCCCUGAAUUGCCACCCUGGGUCUCAACUGGGGUGCUUGUGCCCUGCCCCCGCGCAAGGAAACACUGGCAAUAUCUAGAGACGCUGUGGGUUGUCACGACCGGGUGGGGGGUGUCGCUGCUGGCAUCUGGCGGGUAGAGACCCGGGCGGGGCAGGGGGAAGACCGCCCCAUGUCCUGCACUGCACAGCGCAGCUCCCAUAGCAGAGGACGACCCAGUUCAGAGCAGCCAGGCUGAGCGCCU